AAUGUUGUCCUUUAUAAGAGGACAUGCCUUGGCCAUGGUGUCUGUUCACAGCAAUGGAAACCCUAACUAAGACACCUGCUCGCAAGGCUUAGGGGUCCUCCAGAGCAGCAAGGAUGUGAGCCAUAUGCCAGCCACAGUGCCAGCUGUGAUACACCCUCACCAGCACAUUUGCCGUCUCUGUUGUGUGGUAGGAAAAAUGCUACAUACCAUGUCCAGUGAAUAGAGGCCAGCAAAGGUGGCUCGGAGGCGGGCCACAGCCUCAGGCUGGCCCGGGAGCAGCGCUUCCAGCAGACCCACCCUGCUCAGUUCCUGCUGCACCUUCUUAGUCCCAGCCAGCUGUAUGGCAAUGUCUGGACACUUGGCAGCACGAGAUCUCUCUAGCAUCAGGCGUGCUUCCCAGUUCUGCAGAUGCAAUAAGACCACAGAGCCUUUAUGAGUAGGUGCCAGACACUGUGCCUUUUAAUCCUCAAGCUGAUUAUCAUUACAACAUCCUUGUGAGGCAGAUAUGACCUCUCGGUCUGCAAGAUGCUAGCCUUUCAGGAGUUUGUGGUCUAGCCAACUAAUGCUAGUUCAUAGUGACAUGGCAAAUUACUGCAAGGAAAUGUUUUUUGGGAGGAGGAACAGGGUCUCACUAUGUAGCUCUGUUGGCCUGAAACUUGCUAUAUAUACCAGGCUGGCCUCAAAGUCACAGAGAUCCAUCUACAGCUGUCUCCUGAGUGCUGGGACCACCACAUCCAGCAGAAAAGACAUUUUGUAAGGAAAACGGUGAGCUCCCCUUGCCUCUCCUCUUCCCUCCCCUUCUCCUCCCCCCCCCCACCUCUCUUUCCCUCCCUCCCUCUCUCCUCCAACCACCCUCUCUUUUGAGACCAAGUCUCACUUGGUAGCCGGGCUGGCCUGUAACUCCCAAGAUAGCCUAGGCUGUCCUCCUGCCUCAGCCUUCAGAAUACUAGAAGAUUUGUCAUUUCUUAACAGGAUCUGGUUAUGGAACCCAGGCUGUCCUGCUGCCUCGGCCUCCUGCAGGCUGGGAUUGUAAGCAUGUGCCACCACUCCCGGCUGGAUGAGGUCUGAAGGGUAUGAUUAUAAGCUGAGCUUUAUACACUGUGCUCCAGAGAAAAUCCAACAGGUAAAAAUCUAGUCAGCCAUAUACUCUUUAGCCUUUUAUCAAGUAAAGUCCACUCCUUCCUGUAAGACCCUGUAAGGUUCCCCAGUUUUUCAUCACCUCAUGCCACUGAUUCCAGCUACUCCUCCUAACUCCUGACUCCCACAUUCUAGCCAUACAAGACUAUAACUACUGCAUUUCAUUCCUUCUCACUGGUCUUUUAUUUACUGAUUUCCCUGCCUGAAAUUCUCUGCCUUUUAAAAUUUCCCAUGGAUAGCUACAGCCUUCUCAUCCUCAAGUCUUGGUUCCGUCGUCUUUCCCCUGACAGUGUGCGUUUCUCCAUAAUUCUCUAUCUUUUCUUCCUGGUCUUUCAGUCAAAGCCAAUUACCUCUCAACUAGGCAUGUUUCCCCCAGGCUGAGUAUUCCAUAUUUGUAAUGCUAACACUCAGAUGGCUGAGGCCGUAGGGUCUAGAGUACAAAGCAAGUCAGAGUUAAAAUAAUGAGUUCCAGCAUGCUGGGGCUAUAGAAUAAGAGUCUGUCUCAAACAUAACAAAACCAAAACUCAAAAAAUUAUAAAUAAUGUUUCUAUUUUUUCUUUCUGAUGUUUAUCUCCCUGACCAGGCUGUUUAUUCACCAUAAGAACCACACAAGAUUUUGCCUUGCUUUUGGUUAUCUCCCCACAGUAAUGCAGUUUCCGGUCUGACCCUUCCUAGGUACUCAGUAUCAGUUAUUGUUGCUCAGUGAAGUGAAAUUUGAUUACUAUCCUGACAAUAGGCAGUCUGACGGGUGGAACUCACUGGAGAAUGGGCCCUGUGUCAGACAGGAUCAUAGGAACAAAGGUCUGCAGGUGGCUAAUCACAGGUUGAAUAGUCUUAUUGUUGUAGGAGCUUAGAAUAAUACAAGAGACAGGGAAAUGUCAGAGGUCCCCAAUCUCAGGCACUCGGGAGAAAGUUGUGCUUGUCAUGAUCAGGGACACCUGUCCACAGCUGGCUCAAGGUUCAGGCCUAAUCCACAAGCCCUGCCUCCACCCAGUGCUGUCCACUGGAAUAGCUUAACCUGAUGGUCAACAAAAUCAAUCUCAGUCAGCUAACUGCUGACUGGGCAGUCAGAGGCCCAGAACACAAGACUAGAAAGAUGUCUUGUAGAAGCAGAAAAAUCAAAACUCAGACACAAGAAGAGUCAUCUAACAAAUCACAAAGCCUGUAGCUUAUGUCCAUGGUCCAGUGCAGGCAAGCUGCUCUCUGUAUCACUUCCUUCCCUUCAUUAGCUCAUCCUCCCCUCUAUGAGUGUAUUUUAAACUGUUUCUCUGCCUCCCUGUCCGGAAACUUGGAUCCAUUUUCCCAACAGACAAUUUCCCUCUUCCCUAAUUAGCAGGUUUCCAGCACUAACCACGUCUCUGGACAAAAGGGCUUUCCCUAGAGCUGUCCUUCAGUAGGGCUGUCCCUAUAGAGCUCAACCACAAAGAACCCUAAGUGGACUAUAAAUCUCAUAGGGGCCCCUUCAUUUUCAAGCAUAGCUCCUGUCUUCAGAUGCUGAGACCCAGGAGGGGCUGGGAAGCUGUCCAAGUUGUGACUCUCAGCUCACCACACAGGGUAUUUCCUUGCUUCUUUUGCUAAGUAUUUUUUUUAAAGACUUAUUGUUAUCGUACGUGUGUGAGUGUUAUUCUGCAUGCAUGUAUGUGUACUAUGUGUGUGCCUGACACCUGUGGAGGCCAGAGGAGGGCACUGGAUCCCCUAGAACUAGAGUUACAGAUGGUUGUAAACUGCCAUGUGGGUUGGGACCAAAACUGGGUCCCCUAUAUAAGAGCAGUAAGUAUUCUUAACUGCUGAGCCUCUCUCCAGCCCGUCCUUCCUUCUUUCCUUCCUUCCUUCUUCCCUCCCUCCCUCCCUCCCUCCCUCCCUUCCUUCCUUCCUUCCUUCCUUCUUUCUUUUUUAAUUCCAUGAAAGCCGGGAUUUUUUGCCUUUCCUCCAUGGUAUAGGCGUUAACCUCCGGGGAGAAGAAUGGCAUAUGCAGAGUACACUGCCCCGGGAGUCAGAAAUCAUAGGAGAUUCUUGUGAGAUUUUAGACAAGCCUCUGCAUGGCUCCAAACUUUAGUUUCCUCAGCUAGGUAAUAGGGAUAAUUAUAAGUCUCACACGAUAGCUGUAAGAGUUAAAUAAAAUGUGUGGAAAGUAAUUUUUGAAACUACACAGUAGUUAGCAGGAUGAGGUAAUAUUGGUUGCCAUGAAUAUAAAUUAGAACACGAUCAAACAAACAAAACCUUUCUAGUUCAGAUGGGAGAGGUACAGAGGUACAGAAAAUGAAAAUGGUCAGAGAGGCUGGGCACGAUGACUCACACCUAUACUGUAGCACUUGGAAGGCUGAGGUAGGAGAUUGUCACUUAUUUGAGGCUACACUGAGUUUCAGGUCAGCCUUGAAGGAAGACCUUGUUCCUCCUUACCCUCCCCCUCAAAAAUAAAACAAACAAGCAAACACACAGAAAAGAACAAACAAAAUAAGUGGGUGGGUGGCCUGGCACUAGCCUGCAUCAGCUAGAGAGAGCUAUCUGUCCCUAUCUCUUCCCAGAUCUUUGGUCAGAAUGGUUAGAGUAGCCCAUGGAAGUUAGCAAUGAUAUAUAUAUAUAUAUAUAUAUAUAUAUAUAUAUAUACAUAUAUACAUAUACACUGGGACUCUUCCUCUUAGAAAGAUAUUUGUUAAACACUUUCCAAUAUAUCUUCAAAAAAUGUACAAAUGGCUAAAUCACUACAGAUAGAUUCCUGAGGAUUCAGAUCCUAAAGAUCUUCUAAAAUGAAAGGGGGGAGGGAGCCCGCAUGAAGAAGAAAGGCGUUUUGAGCAGCAGUCCCAUGAGAAAGCAUGGUUGUGACGCCUGAACUGGGUUUCUGUGCAGCUCUAGUAGCUCUCUGGAGACACAGAAUGGUCCGAUAGAAAAUACCAACCUGUGAAUUAUACUGACUGGGCAUGUAGCCAUCUCGGAAGUACACCACAGCAACUUCCUGGUCAUCCCUGUAACACAGGAAGGAGAAAAGGUUCUGAAUAGAAUUAUUACUGACCUGUUCAGUCUAUUUUGGGAUACAUCCAAGGCACACGUGGCAGUCCAUACAGUGAGCCUGGACAGGGGCUUCCCUAGAAUUGGUGACAACAGGGAGCCCACUACUUCUAUUAAAAAUGGGUGUGCAGCACACAGUGCUUUAGAAUAUUCUGCAUCUAAAGAUAUUUUUAUGAAGGCAGCAAGGACACAAGAUUAGCAUAGGUAAAACUAAAAACACAUGUAUCCAAAAUUUUGAGUGAAAGAAUCAUAUUGCCAUGAUUAGUAAGACAGAAUUGCACUUUGUAUUUCUACUGCUUAAAGUAGCAGAAACCAGACUAAGAUUUCAUAAACUGUUGGUGGUGGGGAUGUGCAAAAACUUGACUCUAAGAUAACUUCUUGCCUUGCCCUUGGCCUAUUUCCUAUUAUCUAGUUUAUCUAAAAAGUAAACUAGCUACUUGGUUUUGUUAUGAUAGCAGCCUGUUUGGAAAUAUCUGAAGUGAGAUUGGGAAAGUCCGAGGAGGCUCUCUUUUGCUACUUUGUUUUUUGAGACAGUCUCAUAAAUGCCAGGCUGAAUCUGAACUCACUUUGUAUCUAAGAAUGACCCAGAACCGCUGAUCUUCCUGCCAUUACUUCCCAAGCCCUGAAUGUGUGCCAUCACACCUGGCUACAUUCUUUUGUUUUUAGACAGGGUCUCAUUAUAUAGCUUUCUAUGUACCUGGAACUUUCUGGAACCUGGAACCAGGCUGGCCUAGAACUCUGAGAUCUGCCUGCCUUUGUUGCUGGAGUGUUGAGAUUAAUGGCAUGUGCCAUCAUGUAGAGCCCUGGCUAGGUCUAACUAUGUAAGCUACAGUUCAACCCAAUAUGUGGUAUUAAAGCUACAGUGUGAUGGCCCAUGGGAAAAAACAAUAGGGCCUGCCUUAGAAGACAAAUCCAGGCUGUAGUGCAGAGAGUGGCAACCAGAUGGGUGAGGAUGAGCCUGUCUCCCUCCCAGCCCAGCCCAACUGCUCAGGCCUGUUUUGACUAGCCACAAAGAUGAGCAAGAAAACUUUUAGAACCUCAGGGUUCUGUAUGAAAAACUAAGGUUAUCUUUAAGGAUGAUGUUCCUAUCCAAACGAUCAACAGCUCAGCUAUAUAUCCCCCCUUUACAAGUGAAGCUAGGUGUUCCUAAAAUUUCCUGGGAGGAUGAGAUAUUUCAAAUAUUAGGAGAAAAGAAAACAAGCUAUUGUAUUCCCAGAAGAAAAGUUCUUUAGUGAUAGGAGGUGUCAAGAGAGGCUCUUAAUCCAGCUGUCUAGUGGCUCCUUGGGGAUGCUUACAUAAACAGCCUUCGGUUUUGGUCCAGAGAACCCCUUUCAGAGACAUCUUCAAAUCUUCCACGGAUGACAUGGAUCUUCCUGGGGAAGAAGGGUGAGAAUGAGAGGUAGUAGAUGUGAGUUCUGAAUGGGCCUCUCUCCUGGGGCCACACCAGAGUCUCCUCCUUCCCUUACCUGUCUAGCAGCUCGUUCUCUACGGCACGCUGGUCAAAUAUGUUCCUUUCCUUCUCUUGAGCAAUCAGUAGCACCACCGCACUGCAGAAAGAGCACAAGUGAGCCAGGGUCGCCGCAGACCUCGCCCUUCCUGCUGCUCCUUCAGAGAGAGCUUCCUACUUGGCUGAAUACUCUUCCAGCCUGCCUCAGAGAGUCAAGAGGACAGAUAUAACAUUGAAACUGAAAACUGACUUUAAACUAGCAGGGGGAGGAGCAGUGCUGCCUGGGCGCAAACAUCCUGAGAGCCCGCAUGGAGAGCACUUGGUGCUCACGAGAGCACAACUCAGUUCCACUCGGACACUGAGCAGCUGCUAGCAGAGGCCUCUCAACCAUCUGGAAAUCACUUACCGAGCAUCUUCACACAUCUGGAACGUGGUUGAGAAGUAGGAAGAAAGCAAAGAAAACACUUCUAAGCAGUUACAAUGGACACCAUAAAAUUCCCAGAUCAAACCUGACCUCGCGCUCUUCACACACGGUUACAAUAACCAGGAUCCCUGAUUUCCUUCCCCCUGAGCCACAGCAAAGCAGAAGGCAAAGGGACGAAAGCAGAGGACUCCUACUCCAAGUGCACUGACAGCAGUGAGAUGGGAACUCAACCCCAGCCGCACAGGCCUUCUAACGCUUUCUAACCCUAGGUGUGGCACCAGUGAGCUUCAGCAAGAUGCAAUCACCAACGGUCCGUCAUCAUGAUGACGUCCGUGCAACAUGGAAACAGUAACUUAUAUAGUCAGCAUCUCAUAUUUUAGAAGGAAACCCCAAAACUCCACUAAAGUAUUUUUGGCAUUUAAAGGUAUAUGUUUCUAUUCCUAGAAAUAGCCCUUCGUCCCCCAGUGAAGUCUAGCAAAGGAGAAGCUGCCACACCCAGGAGUGCUGAUGCGAUGGCAGGGUACUACUGCCACCUUUCCAUAUUCUUACUUAGCUGAGCCAUAGAGCUCCCAGGCUUUGGCGAUCCCCAGGGCCAGUCCCUUGCUGGGGUUAUUGGACAGGAUCUUGGAAGCUUCUUUGGUCUUAUUCAGGACAUUGAGAACGUGUCUGUUGGAAAAGAGAUGGCUGCUUAGUAAGUGGAUGGACCAGAAUACCCUUCUGCCCAUGACCUCACACAUACAUACAGGAACAUUACUCUGAAACUCAGCCAAGCACUUAAAAGCACAUUACUACCAUUCCCAGAAGAGUCCUGAGGCCCUUGAGGUCAUUCAACCCCACCCCAAGUUUUUAAGGAAGUCAGAGCCCCUUUCCUUAGGCCCCCAGGUGCUAUAUAGAAUCCAUAUGGAAUCAUAGUGACCUGGAAUACCCCUGAUGGCUAGGAAUCUACUACUAUGGCCCAGCCCUCAGAAGCCUCUCAAUCCCCCUCUGCUUCGGAUUCAGAACUGCUUUCUGGCAUCAGAUAUGUCAGGACCUUCCUAUCAGAGGCCCCUCAAAGGCAUCAUUUUCUGUGCCUGGAGUGUUAAUCUGCACAGUGAGGGGCAGGAUUAAUAUGCCAUGGGGACUCUUCUUUCUCUGAUACAUAAACAAUCUGAUUUCAAGUAGAAAACUGCUAUGGGGAGAAAAUGGAGAUGUGAAGAACACAUGACUCAGGGUCUAGGAAGGUACAGCCAAGGUAAGAGAUCUCUGGCUUAGCCAGUGACUAUUGGUCCAUUGAGCUCUUCCCCACAAAUGAGCUCCAUACUGCCCUAGGAACCCACCGGUGCACAGCUGGAGUCCGGGAGGCCAGGCCCCCAAAGCUGGCAGAGAUAGUGUUGAUCUCGAUCUGUUUCAGGGCUUUGGAGCCGUCUGCGCCGCACUGGAACAUGUAAUCUGAGCGAUUCAGGCCCAGGAACACGGUCUGUGGACAGAACUGAAGGCUGAGGACACUGGCCCGGGGGCUGACUCUGAGAUGAGGCACAGCGUACGAUAUAGAGCUAAGAACUGUCUAAUACUCCCAAACCCAGAAGCAUCAUUCUGUCAUCCCAGGACCGGUCAUGUGCAGGCCCGGUAAAGACUGGUCAGAGGCAGAUUCCUAUGAGACCAAGACUAAGGCCAAUUCUUCUAGUAAAAAUAAAACAGAAACGAAUUCACCAGUGAUAAAAGAGACAAGGGCCAGACAAAGGAGGGGCUAGCACAGUUACCUGGGCAAUGCCCUCUUUCAGGACUUGCUUGUAGAUAUCAAAGAGACGGGCAGUAUAGUCGUCCUUUUUGAUGGUGCUAGAGGAGGAAAGAGAACAUUUUCUAGGCUAUGUGAGACCCUACAGGUCAAGGAGUCCCACCCCACCCCACCCACUGACUCCUAGCUCCUUUCUGGGUCUUGAAUACCCAUUCCAACCUAGGAAAAAACAGUGCCUAAUUGUUUAAUCCCAGCACUCGGGAGGCAGAGGCAGGUGGAUUUCUGAGUUCGAGGCCAGCCUGGUCUACAAAGUAAGCUCCAGGACAGCCAGAGCUAUAAAGAGAAACCCUGUUUCGAAAAACCAAAAAAAAAAAAAAAAAUAGUUACAGCCAGAUAACAAACGCAAGCUGUCACCCACCGUCACCCCGAGAUUUCAGGGAAUCCUAUCACUUUUCUAUCUUAGUUUGUUCAA